rnacentral:rRNA from 1 species
AGCAGCGCCGCGGUAAUACGAAGGGUGCAAGCGUUAAUCGGAAUUACUGGGCGUAAAGCGUGCGUAGGCGGUUUGUUAAGUCUGUUGUGAAAUCCCCGGGCUCAACCUGGGAAUGGCAAUGGAUACUGGCAAGCUAGAGUGUGUCAGAGGAUGGUGGAAUUCCCAGUGUAGCGGUGAAAUGCGUAGAGAUCGGGAGGAACAUCAGUGGCGAAGGCGGCCAUCUGGGACAACACUGACGCUGAGGCACGAAAGCGUGGGGAGCAAACAGGAUUAGAUACCCGAGUAGUCCCUGUCUCUUAUACC